rnacentral:rRNA from 1 species
UACGUAGGUGGCAAGCGUUGUCCGGAUUUACUGGGCGUAAAGAGCGCGCAGGCGGUCGUUCAAGUCGAGUGUGAAAGCCCCCGGCUCAACUGGGGAGGGUCACUCGAUACUGAUCGACUCGAAGGCAGAAGAGGGAAGCGGAAUUCCCAGUGUAGUGGUGAAAUGCGUAGAUAUCGGGAGGAACACCAGUGGCGAAGGCGGCUUUCUGGUCUGCUCUUGACGCUGAGGCGCGAAAGCUAGGGUAGCAAACGGG